rnacentral:rRNA from 1 species
UACGGAGGGGGGCUAGCGUUGUUCGGAAUUACUGGGCGUAAAGCGCACGUAGGCGGCUUUGUAAGUUAGAGGUGAAAGCCCAGGGCUUAACCCUGGAAUUGCCUUUAAGACUGCAUCGCUAGAAUCGUGGAGAGGUAAGUGGAAUUCCGAGUGUAGAGGUGAAAUUCGUAGAUAUUCGGAGGAACACCAGUGGCGAAGGCGACUUACUGGACACGUAUUGACGCUGAGGUGCGAAAGCGUGGGGAGCAAACAGG